GGGUUGUGAGGUUAAGCGACUAAGCGUACACGGUGGAUGCCCUGGCAGUCAGAGGCGAUGAAGGGCGUGCUAAUCUGCGAUAAGCGCCGGUAAGGUGAUAUGAACCGUUAUAACCGGCGAUACCCGAAUGGGGAAACCCAGUGUGACUCGUCACACUAUCAUUAACUGAAUCCAUAGGUUAAUGAGGCGAACCGGGGGAACUGAAACAUCUAAGUACCCCGAGGAAAAGAAAUCAACCGAGAUUCCCCCAGUAGCGGCGAGCGAACGGGGAGGAGCCCAGAGCCUGAAUCAGCAUGUGUGUUAGUGGAAGCGUCUGGAAAGGCGCGCGAUACAGGGUGACAGCCCCGUACACAAAAGCGCAUGUGCUGUGAGCUCGAUGAGUAGGGCGGGACACGUGGUAUCCUGUCUGAAUAUGGGGGGACCAUCCUCCAAGGCUAAAUACUCCUGACUGACCGAUAGUGAACCAGUACCGUGAGGGAAAGGCGAAAAGAACCCCGGCGAGGGGAGUGAAAAAGAACCUGAAACCGUGUACGUACAAGCAGUGGGAGCNAAGAACCCCGGCGAGGGGAGUGAAAAAGAACCUGAAACCGUGUACGUACAAGCAGUGGGAGCACAGGUUUACCUGUGUGACUGCGUACCUUUUGUAUAAUGGGUCAGCGACUUAUAUUCUGUAGCAAGGUUAACCGAAUAGGGGAGCCGGAGGGAAACNGUUUCGCUUUGUGUGGUGCACAAAGAAGCGUAACGACAGCACUGAAUGACGGUUAACGGAGCGCAAGCGACGUUCAACAUACAAAGUCAAGCAGUGGAGCGCUUUGGGGUGGGGUGACUGCGUACCUUUUGUAUAAUGGGUCAGCGACUUAUAUUCUGUAGCAAGGUUAACCGAAUAGGGGAGCCGGAGGGAAACCGAGUCUUAAUUGGGCGUUAAGUUGCAGGGUAUAGACCCGAAACCCGGUGAUCUAGCCAUGGGCAGGUUGAAGGUUGGGUAACACUAACUGGAGGACCGAACCGACUAAUGUUGAAAAAUUAGCGGAUGACCUGUGGCUGGGGGUGAAAGGCCAAUCAAACCGGGANAUUCUCUGGUGUUGAAGGCCCUGCAAAGCAGCAUCGCGGUGGCGGAGCGUCGUUUGCGACGCCCAACACACAAAACAAGCGGUGAGUGCUUUGGGGUGGGGUGACUGCGUACCUUUUGUAUAAUGGGUCAGCGACUUAUAUUCUGUAGCAAGGUUAACCGAAUAGGGGAGCCGGAGGGAAACCGAGUCUUAACCGGGCGUUAAGUUGCAGGGUAUAGACCCGAAACCCGGUGAUCUAGCCAUGGGCAGGUUGAAGGUUGGGUAACACUAACUGGAGGACCGAACCGACUAAUGUUGAAAAAUUAGCGGAUGACCUGUGGCUGGGGGUGAAAGGCCAAUCAAACCGGGAGAUAGCUGGUUCUCCCCGAAAGCUAUUUAGGUAGCGCCUCGUGAAUUCAUCUCCGGGGGUAGAGCACUGUUUCGGCUAGGGGGCCAUCCCGGCUUACCAACCCGAUGCAAACUGCGAAUACCGGAGAAUGUUAUCACGGGAGACACACGGCGGGUGCUAACGUCCGUCGUGAAGAGGGAAACAACCCAGACCGCCAGCUAAGGUCCCAAAGUCAUGGUUAAGUGGGAAACGAUGUGGGAAGGCCCAGACAGCCAGGAUGUUGGCUUAGAAGCAGCCAUCAUUUAAAGAAAGCGUAAUAGCUCACUGGUCGAGUCGGCCUGCGCGGAAGAUGUAACGGGGCUAAACCAUGCACCGAAGCUGCGGCAGCGACGCUUAUGCGUUGUUGGGUAGGGGAGCGUUCUGUAAGCCUGUGAAGGUGGCNACGUAUCACCCAAGACAACUUUACGGAGUUGACGAUUGACGGAGCGAAGCGACGUCAAAGCGUUCAUUAAAGUCGAGUUGGCUUAGGGAUACGUUCGUUGGGUAGGGGAGCGUUCUGUAAGCCUGCGAAGGUGGCCUGUGAGGGUUGCUGGAGGUAUCAGAAGUGCGAAUGCUGACAUAAGUAACGAUAAAGCGGGUGAAAAGCCCGCUCGCCGGAAGACCAAGGGUUCCUGNCGCUUAUGCGUUGUUGGGUAGGGGAGCGUUCUGUAAGCCUGUGAAGGUGGCCUGUGAGGGUUGCUGGAGGUAUCAGAAGUGCGAAUGCUGACAUAAGUAACGAUAAAGCGGGUGAAAAGCCCGCUCGCCGGAAGACCAAGGGUUCCUGUCCAACGUUAAUCGGGGCAGGGUGAGUCGACCCCUAAGGCGAGGCCGAAAGGCGUAGUCGAUGGGAAACGGGUUAAUAUUCCCGUACUUGGUGUUACUGCGAAGGGGGGACGGAGAAGGCUAUGUUGGCCGGGCGACGGUUGUCCCGGUUUAAGCGUGUAGGUGUGUGUUCCAGGUAAAUCCGGUUCACUUUAACACUGAGGCGUGAUGACGAGGCACUACGGUGCUGAAGCAACAAAUGCCCUGCUUCCAGGAAAAGCCUCUAAGCAUCAGGUAACAUCAAAUCGUACCCCAAACCGACACAGGUGGUCAGGUAGAGAAUACCAAGGCGCUUGAGAGAACUCGGGUGAAGGAACUAGGCAAAAUGGUGCCGUAACUUCGGGAGAAGGCACGCUGACAUGUAGGUGAAGCGGUUUACCCGUGGAGCUGAAAUCAGUCGAAGAUACCAGCUGGCUGCAACUGUUUAUUAAAAACACAGCACUGUGCAAACACGAAAGUGGACGUAUACGGUGUGACGCCUGCCCGGUGCCGGAAGGUUAAUUGAUGGGGUCAGCGCAAGCGAAGCUCCUGAUCGAAGCCCCGGUAAACGGCGGCCGUAACUAUAACGGUCCUAAGGUAGCGAAAUUCCUUGUCGGGUAAGUUCCGACCUGCACGAAUGGCGUAAUGAUGGCCAGGCUGUCUCCACCCGAGACUCAGUGAAAUUGAACUCGCUGUGAAGAUGCAGUGUACCCGCGGCAAGACGGAAAGACCCCGUGAACCUUUACUAUAGCUUGACACUGAACAUUGAGCCUUGAUGUGUAGGAUAGGUGGGAGGCUUUGAAGUGUGGACGCCAGUCUGCAUGGAGCCGACCUUGAAAUACCACCCUUUAAUGUUUGAUGUUCUAACGUGGACCCGUGAUCCGGGUUGCGGACAGUGUCUGGUGGGUAGUUUGACUGGGGCGGUCUCCUCCUAAAGAGUAACGGAGGAGCACGAAGGUUGGCUAAUCCUGGUCGGACAUCAGGAGGUUAGUGCAAUGGCAUAAGCCAGCUUGACUGCGAGCGUGACGGCGCGAGCAGGUGCGAAAGCAGGUCAUAGUGAUCCGGUGGUUCUGAAUGGAAGGGCCAUCGCUCAACGGAUAAAAGGUACUCCGGGGAUAACAGGCUGAUACCGCCCAAGAGUUCAUAUCGACGGCGGUGUUUGGCACCUCGAUGUCGGCUCAUCACAUCCUGGGGCUGAAGUAGGUCCCAAGGGUAUGGCUGUUCGCCAUUUAAAGUGGUACGCGAGCUGGGUUUAGAACGUCGUGAGACAGUUCGGUCCCUAUCUGCCGUGGGCGCUGGAGAACUGAGGGGGGCUGCUCCUAGUACGAGAGGACCGGAGUGGACGCAUCACUGGUGUUCGGGUUGUCAUGCCAAUGGCACUGCCCGGUAGCUAAAUGCGGAAGAGAUAAGUGCUGAAAGCAUCUAAGCACGAAACUUGCCCCGAGAUGAGUUCUCCCUGAGACUUAGAGUCUCCUGAAGGAACGUUGAAGACGACGACGUUGAUAGGCCGGGUGUGUAAGCGCAGCGAUGCGUUGAGCUAACCGGUACUAAUGAACCGUGAGGCUUAACCUUACAACGCCGAAG
rnacentral:rRNA from 1 species